CAAUCAAAGAGGGAUGGAGAUAUUAUUGGGACGCCCCCUAUAUGCCUCCACCAAUCAAAGAAGGAUGGAGAUAUUAUUGGGACGCCCCCUAUAUGCCUCCACCAAUCAAAGAAGGAAGGAGAUAUUAUUGGGACGCCCCCUAUAUGCCUCCACCAAUCAAAGAAGGAUGGAGAUAUUAUUGGGACGCCCCCUAUAUGCUCUCCUCAGUCAGAAGCCACGUCAGCCAUUCACUAUAUAAACAGAUGAUAACAGGUUAGUCUGUUGUUGAAGAUGGGAGUGGACAGAGAUGAUAACCGGUUAGUCUGUUGUUGUUGAAGAUGGGAGGGGACAGAGAUGAUAACAGGUUAGUCUGUUGUUGAUGGGAGGGACAGAGAUGAUAACAGGUUAGUCUGUUGUUGAAGAUGGGAGGGACAGAGAUGAUAACAGGUUAGUCUGUUGUUGAAGAUGGGAGGGACAGAGAUGAUAACAGGUUAGUCUGUUGUUGAAGAUGGGAGGGACAGAGAUGAUAACAGGUUAGUCUGUUGUUGAAGAUGGGAGGGGACAGAGAUGAUAACAGGUUGGUCUGUUGUUGAAGAUGGGAGGGACAGAGAUGAUAACAGGUUAGUCUGUUGUUGAAGAUGGGAGGGACAGAGAUGAUAACAGGUUAGUCUGUUGUUGAAGAUGGGAGGGGACAGAGAUGAUAACAGGUUGGUCUGUUGUUGAAGCUGGGAGGGACAGAGAUGAUAACAGGUUAGUCUGUUGUUGAAGAUGGGAGGGACAGAGAUGAUAACAGGUUAGUCUGUUGUUGAAGAUGGGAGGGACAGAGAUGAUAACAGGUUAGUCUGUUGUUGAAGAUGGGAGGGGACAGAGAUGAUAACAGGUUAGUCUGUUGUUGAAGAUGGGAGGGACAGAGAUGAUAACAGGUUAGUCUGUUGUUGAAGAUGGGAGGGACAGAGAUGAUAACAGGUUAGUCUGUUGUUGAAGAUGGGAGGGGACAGAGAUGAUAACAGGUUAGUCUGUUGAAGAUGGGAGUGGACAGAGAUGAUAACCGGUUAGUCUGUUGUUGUUGAAGAUGGGAGGGGACAGAGAUGAUAACAGGUUAGUCUGUUGUUGAAGAUGGGAGGGACAGAGAUGAUAACAGGUUAGUCUGUUGUUGAAGAUGGGAGGGACAGAGAUGAUAACAGGUUAGUCUGUUGUUGAAGAUGGGAGGGGACAGAGAUGAUAACAGGUUAGUCUGUUGUUGAAGAUGGGAGGGACAGAGAUGAUAACAGGUUAGUCUGUUGUUAAACAGGCAGAUAGCGUAGUGGUUAGAGCGUUUGACCAAGAAGAAUCAGUUGUUCUGAACAAGGCAGUUAACCCACUGUUCCCCGGUUGGCCGUCAUUUUAAAUAAGCAUUUGGUUUUUAACUGACUUGCCUUGUUAAAUGAAGAGGUUUCAUAUAGUGUUCAUACUACCCUAUGGGAUCUGGUCUAAAGUAGUGCACCACAUAAGGAAUAGGACUCUGGUCUAAAGUAGUGCACCACAUAAGGAAUAGGACUCUGGUCUAAAGCAGUGCCCUAUAUAGGGAAUAGGGCUCUGGUCUAUAGUAGUGCCCUAUAUAGGAAAUAGGGCUCUGGUCUAAAGUAGUGCACUAUAUAGGGAAUAGGGCUCUGGUCUACAGUAGUGCCCUAUAUAGGGAAUAGGGCUCUGAUCUAUAGUAGUGCACUAUAUAGGGAAUAGGGCUCUGGUCACUAGUAGUUCACUAGAUAGGGAAUAGGGCCCUGGUCACUAGUAGUUCACUAUAUAGGAAUAGGGCUCUGGUCACUAGUAGUUCACUAGAUAGGGAAUAGGGAUCUGGUCACUAGUAGUUCACUAUAUAGGGAAUAGGGAUCUGGUCACUAGUAGUUCACUAGAUAGGGAAUAGGGCAGUAGUCACUAGUAGUUCACUAUAUAGGGAAUAGGGCUCUGGCUCUGGCCACUAGUAGUUCACUAUAUAGGGAAUAGGGCUCUGGUCACUAGUAGUUCACUAUAUAGGGAAUAGGGAUCUGGUCACUCGUAGUUCACUCGAUAGGGAAUAGGGCUCUGGUCACUAGUAGUUCACUAGAUAGGGAAUAGGGCUCUGGUCAAUAGUAGUUCACUAGAUAGGGAAUAGGGCUCUGGUCACUAGUAGUUCACUAUAUAGGGAAUAGGGAUCUGGUCACUAGUAGUUCACUAGAUAGGGAAUAAGGAUCUGGUCACUAGUAGUUCACUACAUAGGGAAUAGGGAUCUGGUCACUAGUAGUUCACUAGAUAGGGAAUAGGGCUCUGGUCAAUAGUAGUUAACUAGAUAGGGAAUAGGGCUCUGGUCACUAGUACUUCACUAGAUAGGGAAUAGGGCUCUGGUCACUAGUAGUUCACUAUAUAGGGAAUAGGGAUCUGGUCACUAGUAAUUCACUAUAUAGGGAAUAGGGAUCUGGUUACUAGUAGUUCACUAGAUAGGGAAUAGGGCCCUGGUCACUAGUAGUUCACUAUAUAGGGAAUAGUCACUAGUAGUUCACUAGAUAGGGAAUAGGGCUCUGGUCACUAGUAGUUCACUAGAUAGGGAAUAGGGCCCUGGUCACUAGUAGUUCACUAUAUAGGGAAUAGGGAUCUGGUCACUAGUAGUUCACUAGAUAGGGAAUAGGGAUCUGGUCACUAGUAGUUUACCAUAUAGGGAAUAGGGUGGUAUUUGGGACCCUGAGCUUGUAGUUUGCACCCAGAAGAAGUGAUGUCAGAGAGAAAGUGGGCUUGUGUCCCAAAUGAGACUGAUCUGUCCCUUCUGUUUCCUACCUUGUAUUUUCAUGUAUCUCUCUACUAAACCCUCUGACGUGGGUUUGUGUCCCAAAUUACACCCUAUUACCUAUAUACUGCACUCCUGUAUAGUGAUUAGUGUGCCGCUGAGACACUCCGUCGCCAACUGUCUUGCACUGGAAGGAUUUCCUUGUUCAUGAAUGCCAAAAGCAUAACAUGUAAAAAAAUAAAUAAUAAAUAAACAUGAUGUUAUGUAAAUUGUUGUGUCAAGUGAUGGCUCAAUAAAAAUCGUUUUCAGGAUGUUUUGUGACUGAACUGUUGCCCGUCUAUUUAAUUUUUUUCAUGACAGAGAGAUUCACGUAUGGAAAAUAACAUCACAAACCUGGAUAUACAUUCAUUAAACUAAACCUCGCUAUGCUUUUC